UUCUAUGUUGUAACCCAAUAAUUUCGUGC
rnacentral:sRNA from 1 species